GCUUAACGCGAAGAACCUUACCAAGGCUUGACAUAUACCUGAAAAGGCUGGAAACAGUCUCCCCGCAAGGCAGGUAUACAGGUGGUGCAUGGUUGUCGUCAGCUCGUGUCGUGAGAUGUUGGGUUAAGUCCCGCAACGAGCGCAACCCUCGUUCUAUGUUGCCAGCACGUAAUGGUGGGAACUCAUAGGAGACUGCCGGGGUCAACUCGGAGGAAGGUGGGGAUGACGUCAAAUCAUCAUGCCCCUUAUGUCUUGGGCUUCACGCAUGCUACAAUGGCCGGUACAAAGGGCUGCAAUACCGCAAGGUGGAGCGAAUCCCAAAAAGCCGGUCUCAGUUCGGAUUGAGGUCUGCAACUCGACCUCAUGAAGUCGGAGUCGCUAGUAAUCGCAGAUCAGCAACGCUGC
rnacentral:rRNA from 1 species